AUGGAGGGCUCUAUACGCCUCAAGGCUGCAAAAAUGGUACAGCCCCAACUCAAAAAUGCAACACCAAUGAUGAUGAAUGGUGGGCUCUAAAUGGCUCAGCCCACCGGAGGGUUGCAACCACACCCAUGUAUAUAGGAACUCGGUUGAAGCCACUGAAACUUGCUGGACCCACUCAUUGUUGGACUAUAGGCACGAGUGAACAUAAAAAACCUGAUGCUCAAUCGCGCAAGACUUGCGGCUGCUCCAUUACU
rnacentral:lncRNA from 1 species